rnacentral:sRNA from 17 species
CAUAUAGUUUUAUAGGGUUCCGCAGUUUAAUUUAAACAACUGGUCUGGUCCGAGAUAAAACGCACAGUUUAAUGUGUUCACGGAAGGAUAAAAGCCUGGGAGAU